rnacentral:lncRNA from 1 species
UCUAUCUCUCUCUAGAUGGCUCGUUCCCUCUCCCUUCCACUUUCUCUCUCUAAAAACCGACUCACAGCAGCUGCAGCCUCCUUCCUCCCUUCAUCGCACCUCUUAUCCAUCCGAUCUCAAUCCUCCGACCGUCGCGGCGAUCUGUACGAAUUCGACAUCGCCGCGUCGCAAUCGCCCUCGGAUCCGUUAAUUCAGAAGCUAGAGGACGCCGUUCACCGGAUAGUCGUCCGAAGAUCGGCACCCGAUUGGCUCCCGUUUGUUCCCGGUGCGUCGUACUGGGUCCCUCCUCC